GGAGAGGUGUCCGAGAGGCCGAAGGUGACAGACUCGAAAUCUGUUGUGGCGCAAGCCACCCGGGGUUCGAAUCCCCGCCUCUCCGCCA
rnacentral:tRNA from 2 species